AUUGAACGCUGGCGGCAUGCCUUACACAUGCAAGUCGAACGGCAGCGGGGACUUCGGUCCGCCGGCGAGUGGCGAACGGGUGAGUAAUGUAUCGGAACGUACCAUUGAGUGGGGGAUAACGUAGCGAAAGUUACGCUAAUACCGCAUAUUCUCUCCGGAGGAAAGCAGGGGACCGCAAGGCCUUGCGCUCUUUGAGCGGCCGAUAUCAGAUUAGCUAGUUGGUGAGGUAAAGGCUCACCAAGGCGACGAUCUGUAGCGGGUCUGAGAGGACGAUCAGCCACACUGGAACUGAGACACGGUCAAGACUCCUACGGGAGGCAGCAGUGGGGAAUUUUGGACAAUGGGGGCAACCCUGAUUCAGCCAUGCCGCGUGAGUGAAGAAGGCCUUCGGGUUGUAAAGCUCUUUCGGCCGGGAAAAAAUCGCAUGGGCUAAUAUCCUGUGUGGAUGAUGGUACCGGAAUAAGAAGCACCGGCUAACUACGUGCCAGCAGCCGCAGUAA
rnacentral:rRNA from 1 species